UUCUGAGCUGAGAGAUAGAGUGUCUUAUUGAUGGAGGCAAGAAGGACUCCAUCUUGAAUUAAAGAGAACAUGAUUGGGAGAGACAGUCACAGGAGAAGAUGAAAGGACUAAAUUCAAAAGGAAGUUUUCCUCUUUCCACCAGAAGAUAUUUACAUGUCCUGAGGAUUUCCGGCACACAGCAAGAGGCAGAAGUUGCCUUCUGUUGAUGGAAGUCAUGCCACUGACCCCUAGCAGCCUUCUCUUAAGGACUUUCACAGAAGAAGGGACCUAUCACAGCCCUAUCAAAAUAGGGAUCCUUCUUCUCCCUUGAGGCUAGAUAUCAGACAGGCACAGCAGGAGGUGGUCUUGACCCUAGACUACCCUAGGUCUUCUUGACUACAAGUCUAGCUCUUUAUUCAUUAUAUCAAACUAUUUUGUAACAAUUAAUAACAUAAUUUUCUGUUAAGAAACAGGACUGAAUUUAAACAAAAAUACUUGAUUACCAGUAUUGAGAUAAUAAGCUGCAAUAUUGAAUAUUAAAUUCAUUUGCAGAGAAAUAAUUGUAGUUUAAUAAAUAUAACAAUAGCUUACCAGGAAAAUAACAAAACAAAGCAAUGCAAAACACUCCCCAUCCCAAGAAAAAACUGUUUCUAAUUGCUACCUUAGCCUUUUGAAAUUUUCCUGAUCAAAUUUGCAGUCUAAAUAUAUAUGAAUACCUUCUAGGGGGCAUUCUUUUCUAUAUUUUUCUUAUCACAAAUCUGUGUGAAACAUGAUUAAAAGUUAUUUUUUUCUGA